UGAGUAGCUGGGAUUAGAGGCGUCCAUCACCACACCCGGCUAAUUUUUGUAUUAGGGUUUUGAAAUGGGGUUGCGCCAUGUUGGCCGGGCUGGUCUUGAACUUCUGUCCUCAAGUGAUCAACCCGCCUCGGCCUCCCAAAGUGCUGGGAUUACAGGUGUGAGCCACCGCACCCAGCCAUCCUCCUUUAAUUUUAAAAAAUAGAUAUGGGAUCUUGUGACACUUCCCAAGCUGGUCUCAAGUGAUUCUCCUGCCUUAGCCUCUCCUGUGAGUAACUGGUAUUACAGACGCAAGCCACCACUCCUGGCUUUUUUUCUUUAAAAUACAUUUUAUGUGUUAGAGGAAGUUUACAUUCACAGCAAAAUUGAGCAGAAGGUACAGUUCUGUAUGCUUCCAUUCUCCGUUUUUGCAAUUGCGAUCUUACUAUAAGUAGAGUUUCUGGUAUCUUGACUCAAUUCCUAUGUUGACUUUUUAUAAACAUAACUAGCCAAACCCUUGUCCCUUCAUGUUUCCACUCAAUCAUGCUAUCGGGCUUUCACCUGCUAAAUGCAGGAAUAGUUGGUGUCAAGGAAGUCAGAUUCUAGAUCCUCCAACUUCCCCAUGUACUUGCUGUUAGGUUAUUUAAUUAAUAUUCAUUUAGCAAAUCUUAGUUAAGACUUUUGGUAUACUUCCCAGAAACUUUUUUCUAAUAUGCAAGGUCUUGCACUGUUUCCCAGGCUGGCAUGCAGUGACACAAUCAUAGCUUACUGCAACCUUCAAUUCCUGGGCACAAGGGAGCCUCCUGCCUCAGCUGGGAUUCCAGGUGUGAGCCACGGUGCCCAGCUGUUUUCAAUAGAUCUGAAGGAAGACCAAAACAAAUUGUCACCUGAUAAAACAUUUAAAUGUUUUUGGUUAAUACUUACUAGCUUGAGAUACAAUAAAACCCCUUUUAUUGGCAUCUUCCUGUUUAUGUGAACAAGGUACCUAAUAAGCUUUCACGUAUGAAAAAAGUUGGAACAGAAUUAUAGCUGAAUCCGUCUCAUUGGAGCAAUCACAGUGCUAGAGAACUUAGAUACCGAUUUUUCUUUUUGAGACUUGAGUUUUGCUCUCCAGGCUGGAGUGCAGUGGUGCCAUCACAGCUUACUGCAACCUCCGCCGCCCGGGUUCGAGCCAUUCUCCUGCCUCAGUUUCCCAAGUAGCUGAGAUUACAGGCGCCCGCCACCACACCCGGCUAAUUUUUGUAUUUUCAGUAGAGACAGGGUUUCGCCAUGUUGUCCAGGCUAGUUUCGAACUCCUGAUCUCAGGUGAUAACACUCGCCUCAGCCUCCCAAGUGCUGGGAUUACAGGCGUGAGCCACCGCGCCCGGCCUAGAUACCGGUUUUCUACAGCAGAAAUAGUCACACUUUCUAAAGCAGAAGAGCUUUGGAGUCAGGCCCGAGCUGCAGUGGGGGAUGCUUUGCGAUCUCUCUUCAGCAAGCUGUUGUUUUAGGGACGUGGGGCCACUUUCCUUUAUUUGUACAAAAGAUGCCAGUGCCCACUUCAGAGUUGUGCUGCUCCGGGCCAGUUCAGCGAGUGCCCGUCGGCCCGGUGCUGUCGGUCACGUAAGUGGGCUCUUUGAGGUUCACAACGCGUCCUCCCUGGACGUUCUGGGCCUGUUAAGUUUGUGUCCGUGGGAAACGCUCACGGCGGUUCCCCAGGGGGCCGAGGGAGAAAAGUGAGGACGUUUCUGGUCGCCUGCCAUCUGCUAAAUAUCCUAGCAGGCACAAGGGCGCCCCCACGGGACUCGCCGGCCCGAAAGCCCGGGUGGGCCUCCAGCCCCGCCAUCUGAGACCCUCCGUCGCCGGCCCUUCCGGCGGCAGCGCCCGGAGCGGGUAGGAGGUGCCACGAACCGCCCCGCCUGUGCUCAGCUUUGUUGGGCUACGUCACUUCCGCCGCGGUCCCGCCCCCAGCGUGGUCGUAACCCAAGGCGACGGCGCGGCCGGCAGCGACCUGAGUAGCCCCUGCAAGUAGGCCGGGGCUAGUUGUCUCGGGGCCUUUCAUCCGCUCGGCCCCACAGGAAAAGACCACCAAUAUUCUCUUUCGGUAGCGGAGCGUCUUGAUCCUGCCUGAAGUACACCAGUGUUCUGAAGGUGCAUCUGGUGAUCUGCAAGAAGAUGUUAAAAACUUUAAGCAACCAUCACAGUAAUGGAUCUCUGUCAGAAAAAUGAGACUGACUUAGAAAAUGCUGAAAAUAAUGAAAUUCAAUUCACAGAAGAAACAGAACCAACCUAUACUUGUCCAGAUGGAAAAAGUGAAAAAAAUCAUGUUUAUUGUCUUCUCGAUAUCAGUGACAUUACGCUUGAACAAGAUGAAAAAGCCAAAGAGUUUAUUAUUGGAACUGGAUGGGAAGAGGCAGUCCAAGGGUGGGGAAGGACUUCUCCAGCUGCCUGCAUCUGGCCAAGGAAGACACCAAAAAAGGCGAGGGUAGGGGAAGGUGCCUGCAGCGAUUGCUUGGUGUGUGUUAACCUCUCCCACUGGAGCCUUGAGACCAAGCCUCCUACUGAGGGGGGCCCAGAGAAGGAUCAGAGCAGCCCCUCCCAGACUCAGGCAGCCCCCCAGGGCCCCAGCACUGCUUCCAGGGCAAUUAGCAACAUCUGCUUUCCCACCUACUUUCGAGCAGAGAAAAAAAGUCUGCAAAUCAAGGAGUUUAUUUGGUGCAACAAAGACUGGGCCAUUCCCGACACUAACAGGGGCAAGGCCCUUGGGAACCCCAGUGGAGGGGCCCACAGAGGGCUGUCCAUCCCAGGCCCCCUGACUUCCAGGGCCCUCCUAGUUCUGCCUCCCCUGAAGGCUUCACUUUCAAAUGCCUUGGAUGUUCUGGGUAAGAAGAGUAAGAACUCUUUCUUGCAGUCAGAAGAGAAGGUGCUAAGUGUGGAAAAGGAUGGGUGUGUGGCUUGUGCAUACGGCUUGAAAACAGCAGAUGAGAAAGGUGAAAAGAGACCCAGUGAGCUGGCCAAACACCCUAUGGUCAACAACACGCCAUCCUCCCCGUCCCCAGCGGCCCGGACAUCCCUGCUGGCCGAUCCGGAGCAGCGCUGCCUGCAUUGGUCCCUCCUGUCUGAGAAAAACCUGGCGUGCCCUCCAGACCCCAGCAACGUUCGCUACCUUGCUGCCUUGCAGCUUCUGCAGAAACGGGGAGUGCAAAACUACAAAUCCAAAUUCAAAGCCAAGGAGCCAAGAUCUCCUGUGAUCACCCAAAAGCACGUUCUCCCAAAGGCCAAGCAGGAAAACAGGCCCCAAAUGCUGGAGACCACAGUUUUCCCAAGACCUCUCUUGCCGUCUCUCACAGUGAGCAGAGUUGUCAUUCCUGUCUCUACCCACAGGAUCCUCUGAGCGGUCACGGUAGAACCCCUGGGAAUAAGCACCACUUGAGAUGCAGCCAUCGUUUCUCUUUCUUCUCUCUCAUUUCCAACCCACCCGCCACUCUCUUUCUCUCCUCCCCGUCAGUCUGUCUUUACUCUUCUUUUCCUCCAUUUUUUCUUUAUAGUACAGCCAAAGAAAACUGAACCUCAGUGGAUUGUUGGGAUUUAUUUUCUAAAACACCAUGUUCAUAUGUUACGUGCUUCUGCUACUGAGCUAUUCACAAAAUGCCAAUUGGUCUUGCCAGCCCCGGCCUCUGCCUGCCUCAUGUCCACUCCCAGCAGAAGCCACGCAGAAGGUGGGGAAUCCAAAGGGCCUCCUUCCCUCCAUGCUGGCCCCAGGUCAGCCCAGAGCCAUCUGGCAGGUGUCCUUUCUGCCCCACCCUUGUGCCUCAAAGUAAGUAUACUGGGCUGAUUUUUUGAAAGUGCCUCCUGAUUUUUUGAACGAAGCAGGUGUCUAUCUGCUGCCUCAUUUGCUUUUGCAACAAAGAUCUGAAGAAUUGCUUUAAUAAAAAACUCCAGGCCGGGCACGGUGGCUCACGCCUGUAAUCCCAGCACUUUGGGAGGCCAAGGCGGGUGGAUCAUCUGAGGUCAGGAGUUUAAGACCAGCCUGACCAACAUGGAGAAACCCUGUCUCUACUAAAAUAAUACAAAAUUAGCCGGGUGUGGUGGCGCAUGCCUGUAAUCUCAGCUACGCAGGAGGCUGAGGCAGGAGAAUUGCUUGAACCCGGGAGACAGAGGUUGUGGUGAGCCGAGAUCGUGCCAUUGUACUCCAGCCUGGGCAAUAAGAGUGAAACUCCACCUCAAAAGAAAGAAAAGAAAACUCCAGCUUGGGUCCAGGACGUCCAAGGCAUCAGAGACCCUGUGUGUCCAGGGUGUCACACCCUCAGAUUAUUUCCAUGUAUAUACACUGUCUGUCGUCUCCUGCAUUUUCAGGGUGCCAUAUCCUCAGAUUCCACCCUCAUACUAAUCUCUCUGUCUGGAAGUUUUAGCUAUAGUGCUACAAAAUCCAGCCUGGGAAGCAGGUUAAGAAUAAUUACUUUUUGGGGCCAGGCGCGGUGGCUCACGCCUGUAAUCCCAGCACUUUGGGAGGCUGAGGCGGGCGGAUCACGAGGUCAGGAAAUCGAGACCAUCCUGGCUAACAUGGUGAAACCCCAUCUCUACUAAAAAUACAAAAAAUUAGCCGGGCAUGGUGGUGGGCUCCUGUAGUCCCAGCUACUCGGGAGACUGAGGCAGGAGAAUGGCGUGAACCCAGGAGGUGGAGCUUGCAGUGAGCAGAGAUCGCGCCACUGCACUCCAGCCUGGGCAACAGAGCGAGACCCCAUCUCAAAAAAAAAAAAAAAGAUUACUUUUUGGGAAAAAAAAUAAAAAGAUCACUGUGAUUAUCAUCCCACAUGCUUCCUUUGGCAUUACUUUGCAUCUAAUGUUUGGAAACCCUCAACCCCAGACACUUUUGGAAAGGGGCUGUUACUUUCUCCCUCUGUCCUUCCUCUACCCUCAUUUUACCCCAACUCAUAUUCCCACAGUUCUAUCUAAAUUAAAUGACAUUUGUAAAUGAUUUAUAUUUUAAAUGCCAAGUGAUGUUGCUAUAUAGACACAUGUUCUGAUGAACCGUUCUGUGAUACCAGUAAUCAUUAAGCUGCUUUGUAAUUACAUAGUUUGAAUUUGCUUAAGGUAGGUUGGACUUGAACUCUGGAUUUCCUGUCUCCUAAACGAUGGAGUAGACAGAAUAUAUGACUGUAUUUGUAAAUAUCUGCUUCCAUAGUGGUCUUUGUAAUGUCUUGUCUGUUUGCCUAGGGUUUUGUUUUGUUUUGUUUUGUUUUUUUGAGACAGAGUCUCGCUCUGUCACCCAGGCUGGAAUGCAGUGGCAUGAUCUUGGCUCGCUGUAACCUCUGCCUCCUGGGUUCAAGUGAUUCUCGUGCCCCAGCCUCCCAAGUAGCUGGUAUUACAGGUGCUCACCACCACACUCAGCUCAUUUUUGUAUUAUUAGUAGAGACUGGGUUUCUGGAGGUUGCAGUGAGCUGAGAUCACGCCAUUGUACUUCAGCCUGGGCAACAGAGCAAGACUGUCUCAAAAUAAAUAAAUAAAUAAAAUAAGAAUCCAAGGCCUCUUCCCAGACAUUAUCUCUUUUAAUCCUGCAUGUAUGCAUGGGAAUCAGGGAUCAUUUUCCUCUUCUAACCCAAGGAGAAAUUGUUCAACAGAGGGUUGGGUUUGGUCAGGACAGCAUUAAGGUUUGUAGCCUGGGUUUCUGAAGGCUCAAACUAUAUUUCACAGGUUGGGGACGUUUGAAGUACUAGGUGGAAAAUAUCACAUAAGGCAGGAAGGAGGGCUCAAGAAUGUCAUUUCUUCCUUUAAGAUGGGAACAAUUUUCAGACACAGGAUGUGGUGAAGAUGACCAGGUAGUGUAUGUUGAACUCCAGCAGAGAUCUGUGUUUUUCCUGAAUGCAUUGAGUGGAUCAAAUAUAACAAGCUGGAUAAUUUCCCUCUAAUGAAUAACUGACUGUUCAAAAUUGUAUGGAAGUCCUUUGGCCUGCAAGCUGGCAUUUGGAUAUUUGAUGAUGGGUCUUUACUCUCUAAUGGGUUCUCAGAACUUACCUUUGCAACUUGUCAACUAAGGUGCUCCUUGCUUGGGUCCAGUCCAUCUUAAUUCCCUGGCCUUUUUCCGCAUCUGGUUUUGCCUGUAUUUCCACUGUGCCAGUGUAAACACCAUCACUGUGCAGAUUAAGGCAUGACUCUUGUACUGAAUUUGUGCAUACGGAGGUGUUCCAGGAAAAAACUUUUCAAGUUCAAUCUCCUAGAUCAAAAAGCAUCUGUAUAUUUUUUUGGACACAGUCUCAGGAUAAAUCCAGUAUUCACUGCAAUAAGUAAAGAUAACCAUCUUCCUUUUUCCUAGGAGGUGAGAACCAUUAGGAUGUAUAUUUUUUAGUACCCCAGCUUUGCCACUGAGCAUUUCUGCCUUUGCCUAUAAAAUGAGCGAGUAGUGUCUGAAAUUUCCCUAGUUCUGUCAUUUUAAUGCAUUUAACUUGCCUGCAAACAUUAUUAUUAUAGAGACUCAAAAUGGUGAACAGUUGUUUCUGUUUCAGGUUUUUGUUUGUUUGUUUGUUUGUUGAGACGGAGUUUCGCUCUUCUUGUCCAAGCUGGAGUGCAAUGGCACAAUCUUGGCUCACUGCAACCUCUGCCUCCCGGGUUCAAGUGAUUCUCCUGCCUCAGCCUCCUGAGUAGCUGGGAUUACAGGCGUGCGCCACCACGCCCAGCUAAUUUUUGCAUUUUUAGUAGAGAGGGGGUUUCACCGUGUUAGCCAGGAUGGUCUCGAUCUCCUGACCUUGUGAUCCGCCCGCCUCGGCCUCCCAAAGUGCUGGGAUUACAGGCAUGAGCCACCACGCCCGGCCUGUUUCAGGUUUUGAUCAGUCUUGCUCUGGAUCCUGGCCUUUCUAAUGUGAAAAAAAAAAAAAACUAAAUGAAUUUCAGUUUAUACAUUUCAAAAGAUGAUGAUAGUAAAAACCCUAAAGAAAUUUUUUUUUAACCUAAGACCGUGGGCACUUAACCUUCUCUACCAACACAUACUUUUUUUUUUUUUUUUUUUUUGAGACAGAGUCUUCUUCUGUGGGCCAGGCUGGCAUGAUCUCAACCCACUGCAACCUCUGCCUCCCGGGUUCAAGCAAUUCUCCUGCCUCAGACUCACGAGUAGCUGGGAUUACAGCACAGGAAAAAGAAGAUAAAGUAGGAGAGGGAUCAGUUUCACAUUCAGUCCUAAGCAGCAAGACGGUUGAGAUGUAAUCAUAAAAGCAAAUAUUUCACCCAGGACAUGGAAAAGCGGCGGAUCACCAGAAAGUAGAGAGUCAAACGCUGCAAGCAGAAGCAGUAAGAAGACGCCAAGUUUGGAGCAAGGUCUUAUUUACACCUGCCAUGGUCAUCAGCUCGCUCUUUUAGGUCUCCCCAACCUGCCCCCGAAAAAGAGGUUAUAUGCAGAGGUAAUAUAAUAUAUGUACUUUUGAAAAUAACAAAGUCACCAUGGAGAUAAUUUCAAAACAAUUUAUUUUCAUUUUCAGAUAUAUUGGACUAUUUCACUGAUGCUAAAAAGAGUAUCACUUGUUUAAAUUUUUUGUUGUUUCUUUUUUGCAGCCUGAUGUUCUGUAAUAGUAACUUGCUUUGAAGUAAAGUAUGAAAAGUUAGUGGAGGGGCCAUGGUUGUGGUCUCUCAUAGGUCAAACUAUACUAUUUUGGAAUGCGUGGAGUUAGAACAAAGUUUUUAUUUUGUUAUUAAUUAGUAAAGCAAUAAAUUAAAUUGUCUUAC